rnacentral:tRNA from 2 species
GAGGAUAUAGCUCAGUGGUAGAGUGUGUGCUUAGCAUGCACAAGGUCCUGGGUUCAAUCCCCAGUACCUUCA